AAAAAUACCUCCUGAGUAGCGUUUAGGAAAAUGCCGUAUCUUGGGUGACACAGGUCCCCCCAGCAGCCCGUGGCCGGGAAGUCAGACACGUGGAGC